GGCUUUGUAGCUCAGCUUGUAGAACGCUUGCCGCGCUGAGGCAUGAUGUUUCCGUCUUUGGUUCGAAUCCAGACAAAGCCC